rnacentral:rRNA from 1 species
UGGGAACGUGCCCUUUGGUUCGGAAUAACUCAGGGAAACUUGAACUAAUACCGAAUAAGCCCUUACGGGGAAAGAUUUAUUGCCGAAGGAGCGGCCCGCGUCCGAUUAGCUAGUUGGUGAGGUAACGGCUCACCAAGGCUACGAUCGGUAGCUGGUCUGAGAGGAUGACCAGCCACACUGGGACUGAGACACGGCCCAGACUCCUACGGGAGGCAG